GAGUUUGAUCCUGGCUCAGGAUGAACGCUGGCGGCGUGCUUAACACAUGCAAGUCGAGCGAAGCGGCUGAAUUGAUUCUUCGGAUGAUUUUCAGUUGACUGAGCGGCGGACGGGUGAGUAACGCGUGGGUGACCUGCCCCAUACCGGGGGAUAACAGCUGGAAACGGCUGCUAAUACCGCAUAAGCGCACGGCAUCGCAUGAUGCAGUGUGAAAAACUCCGGUGGUAUAAGAUGGACCCGCGUUGGAUUAGCUAGUUGGUGAGGUAACGGCCCACCAAGGCGACGAUCCAUAGCCGACCUGAGAGGGUGACCGGCCACAUUGGGACUGAGACACGGCCCAAACUCCUACGGGAGGCAGCAGUGGGGGAUAUUGCACAAUGGGGGAAACCCUGAUGCAGCGACGCCGCGUGGAGGAAGAAGGUUUUCGGAUUGUAAACUCCUGUCGUUAGGGACGAUAAUGACGGUACCUAACAAGAAAGCACCGGCUAACUACGUGCCAGCCGCCGCGGUAAUUC
rnacentral:rRNA from 1 species